rnacentral:lncRNA from 1 species
UUCCCCCUUUCUGUAGGUUCAAUUGGUUGAGUUGGUGUUGGAUACAGCAGAUCCCAUUAUUGGACUCUACAUAGACUUGAUCCACAAUAGAUGGAAACAUGGUGGGGGGAAGGGCAUACAAUUUGGCAAAAAACAAGCUAAUGAAAUUUGAAAAAUGCUCUAAGCACCCACCAUGCACGUACACGGAAGUUCAACGGCCAUAAUCAUGUUAUCUCCCUAU